UAACAACUCCUUUUUAUUUAA
rnacentral:piRNA from 1 species